rnacentral:rRNA from 1 species
GUGAAUCAUCGAAUCUUUGAACGCACCUUGCGCCCUCUGGCUAUUCCGGAGGGCAUGCCUGUUUGAGUAUCAUGAACACCUCAACUCUCAUGGUUUGCCAUGAUGAGUUUGGACUUUGGGGGUCUUGCUGGCCUGUGAGCCAGCUCCUCUCAAAUGAAUCAGCUUGCCAGUGUUUGGUGGCAUCACAGGUGUGAUAACUAUCUACGCUUGUGAUUUUCCACCAGGUAACCUUCAGCAAUGGAGGUUCGCUGGAGCUCACAGACGUCUCUCCUCAGUGAGGACAGCCCUUUGAAUGUUUGAUCUCAAAUCAGGUAGGACUACCCGCUGAACUUAAGCAUAUCAAUAAGCGGAGGG